UACAGAGGUCCCGAGCGUUGUUCGGAUUCACUGGGCGUAAAGGGUGCGUAGGUGGCAUAGAAAGUUUGAUGUGAAAGCUCAGGGCUUAACCCUGAAAUGGCAUUGAAUACUGCUGUGCUGGAGGUUUGGAGGGGGGACUGGAAUUCUUGGUGUAGCAGUGAAAUGCGUAGAUAUCAAGAGGAACACCAGUGGCGAAGGCGAGUCCCUGGACAACACCUGACACUGAGGCACGAAAGCCAGGGGAGCAAACGGG
rnacentral:rRNA from 1 species